rnacentral:rRNA from 1 species
CCUACGGGGUGCAGCAGUGAGGAAUAUUGGUCAAUGGACGCAAGUCUGAACCAGCCAUGCCGCGUGCAGGAAGACGGCUCUAUGAGUUGUAAACUGCUUUUGUACGGGGGUAAACGCAGAUACGCGUGUCUGUCUGAAUGUAUCUUACGAAUAAGGAUCGGCUAACUCCGUGCCAGCAGCCGCGGUAAUACGGAGGAUUCAAGCGUUAUCCGGAUUUAUUGGGUUUAAAGGGUGCGUAGGCGGUCGGAUAAGUUAGAGGUGAAAUUCCGAGGCUCAACUUCGGAAUUGCCUAUGAUACUGUUCGGCUAGAGAGUAGUUGAGGUAGGCGGAAUGUAUGGUGUAGCGGUGAAAUGCUUAGAGAUCAUACAGAACACCGAUUGCGAAGGCAGCUUACCAAGCUACUUCUGACGUUGAGGCACGAAAGCGUGGGGAGCAAACAGGAUUAGAUACCCGAGUAGUC